rnacentral:lncRNA from 1 species
UAUUUGGUUUUAUGAGCUAAAUAUGUUAAUCAAUCUUUUUAUUCUUGUUUGUAGAGAUGCAAAAUGUUAUUCCCAACGAGUUUGCAGAAAUAAAAGUUCUUUUAAAAGAAGUUAUAGAAAUUAAGUUUCAGGCUACUGGGGUGAAGUUGCUAGAAUCAGUGGACAAAGUGGUUACACUGGAUAAUAAACUAAAAGAUAAAACCGAGUAUACUAAUUUGCUUGAUAGUUU